UUGAAAAAACAAAGCAUACAAUGGAUGCCUUGGCAUAAAUGAACGAUGAAGGACGUAGAGGGCUACGAUAAGCCUCGGGGAGCUGCCGUCAAGCUUUGAUCCGGGGAUUUCCGAAUGGGGUAACCCGCUCAUCUUGAGCAUCCUGUUGUGAAUACAUAGCAACAGGAAGAAGACCUGCUGAACUGAAACAUCUAAGUAGGCAGAGGAAAAGAAAACGAAUGUGAUUCCCUAAGUAGCGGCGAGCGAAAUGGGAAGAGCCUAAACCACAGAGCUUGCUCUGUGGGGUUGUAGGGCUGGUUGUCGGACCACCGAUGGUAGUUGAACGACUUGGAAUAGUCGGCCAUAGAGCAUGAAAGCUGUGUAAACGAAACCAAAAGUGGCCAAAACCGUGUACCUGAGUACCACGAGACACGCGAAAUCUUGUGGGAAGCUACCCAGACCAUUGGGUAAGGCUAAAUAUCAUUUAUGACCGAUAGUGAACUAGUACCGUGAGGGAAAGGUGAAAAGCAGUCCGGAAGGACAAUGAAAUAGUACCUGAAAUUGUAUGCUGUCAAGCAGUGGAAGUCCCGAUUUAUCGUGGAUAACCGCGUGCCUAUUGAAGAAUGAACCGGUGAGUAAUCGUAAGCUGCUUUUAGGUUAAGGGCCUCUAGGUCCGAAGCCUUAGUGAAAGCGAGCGUGAAUAGCGCUAUUUUGUAGCUUAUGGUUGACCCGAAACCAAGUGAGCUAACCAUGAACAGGGUGAAGCUUUGAGAAAUCGAAGUGGAGGCCCGAACCCGUGUCUGUUGCAAUAGGCUGGGAUGAUUUGUGGUUAGAGGUGAUAUACCUAACGAACUUGGAGAUAGCUGGUUCUCCCCGAAAUAUAUUUAGGUAUAGCCUUCGUUAAUUCGCAACUAGGGGUAGAGCACUGGAUGGAUCGCCCCGGCGCAAGCCGGUGCAUUCAAUCAAACUCCGAAUACUAGUUGUUUUAUGCGAGGAGUCAGACCGACUCGGCUAAGCGAGCCUGGUCUAAAGGGAAACAACCCAGACUUAAAGCUAAGGUCCCUAAAUUCUAGCUAAGUGUUAAAGGAAGUUUAGUCGCUUUGACAACCAGGAUGUUGGCUUAGAAGCAGCCACCAUUUAAAGAAAGCGUAACAGCUCGCUGGUCUAUUUGCCUUUAUGGCAAGAGCGAUUGAGCGCCGACAAUGUACCGGGGCUCAAGCUAGAUACCGAAGCUUAAGAUAGUCGAGCAAUCGACUAUGGUAGGGGAGCGUUCUGUUUGCAGUGAAGGUGAACCGUGAGGUUUGCUGGAGCGGAUAGAAGUGAGAAUGCCGGUAUGAGUAGCGAGAGUGGUGUGAGAAUCACCACCACCGAAUACCCAAGGUUUCCUACGCAACGUUGAUCGGCGUAGGGUUAGUCGAUCCUAAGGCGAGGCCAGAUGGCGUAGUCGAUGGAAGAAUCCGUCAAAAUUCGGAUACAGACUAAAUCUGAUAAAGACACAAAGGGUGGACAAAGUUGGAUACUCCGAGCCUCGAAAUGAUACGGGGUUUAAGUAGUGAGGAAGUGUAGAUUGGUAAAUCCGUCUAUGCGUUUAUUCAAGCUACGAAUAAGAGUUGGGGUCAUAUGAUUCUAGCGAUUUGGAAGAUUUCAGUUUUCGAGAAAAAGCUCGUUGUGGAGAUUUAGUUUAUCGUACCGCAAACCGACACAGGUGGGUAGGUCGAGUAGACCAAGGUGGACGAGAGAAUGUACUUUAAGGAACUCGGCAAAAUAGCUGGACGUAAGUUUGACAAGAUGUCCUGAUCGAGCAAUCGAUCCUCAGUUAAAGACGCUAAGCGACUGUUUAACAAAAACACAGGUCUCUGCAAAACCGAAAGGUGACGUAUAGGGGCUGACGCCUGCCCAGUGCUCGUAGGUUAACUAUUGGAGGUUCACGCUUCUGAUAUAAGCCCGAGUGAACGGCAGCAGUAACUAUAACUGUUCUAUGGUAGCGAAAUUCCUUGUCGGGUAAGUUCCG
rnacentral:rRNA from 1 species